UACAGGGGGUGCAACCGUUGCUCGGAAUCAUUGGGCGUAAAGCGCACGUAGGCGGUCUGUUAUGUCGGAUGUGAAGGCCCUUGGCUCAACUGAGGAAGUGCAUCCGAAACUGGCAGGCUAGAGUACUAAAGAGGGUCGCGGAAUUCCCGGUGUAGAGGUGAAAUUCGUAGAGAUCGGGUGGAACACCAGUGGCGAAGGCGCCUGUCUGGCUGACAACUGACGCUGAGACUCGAAAGCAUGGGGAGCAAACAGG
rnacentral:rRNA from 1 species